ACGGGGCCCGCACAAGCAGUGGAACAUGUGGUUCAAUUCGACGCUACGCGAAGAACCUCACCAGGGUUUGACAUAUAGGUAGUAGGAACCUGAAAGGGAGACGACUCGUUAAGCCGAGUGCCUAUACAGGUGUUGCAUGGCUGUCGUCAGCUCGUGCCGUGAGGUGUUGGGUUAAGUCCCGCAACGAGCGCAACCAUCAUCCUUAGUUGCUACCGAGGGAUCCGAAAGGGUCCUGGCGAGCACUCUAAGGAGACUGCCCGUGAUAAACGGGAGGAAGGUGGAGAUGACGUCAAGUCCGUAUGGCCCUUAUACCCUGGGCUACACACGUGUUACAAUGGGAUGUACAGAGCGUUGCCAAACCGCGAGGUGGAGCUAAUCGCAAAAAGCAUCCCCCAGUUCAGAUUGGAGUCUGCAACCCGACUCCAUGAAGUUGGAAUUGCUAGUAACGGCGGAUCAGCUACGCCGCCGUGAAUACGUUCCCGGGCCUU
rnacentral:rRNA from 1 species